rnacentral:rRNA from 1 species
GCUGAUUAUGCUAAUUACAUUGUUGCUAAGUUUAUAGCACCUAGUUUCACAUACCAGCAAAAGAAAAAGUUCUUCUAUGAUUUCAGGCAUUACUUUUGGGAUGACCCACAUCUUUAUAAAGAAGGAGUAGAUGGUAUUAUUAGACGUUGUGUACCUGAGCAUGAACAGGAACAGAUCCUACGCAAGUGUCACUCCGAAGCUUAUGGAGGGCACCAUGUUGGAGACAGAACCGCACAUAAGGUACUACAAUCUGGUUUUUAUUGGCCUACUCUCUUCAAGGAUGCCUGUAAGUUUGUCUUAUCUUGUGAUGAAUGUCAAAGAAUUGGUAAUAUUAGUAGACAUCAAGAAAUGCCUAUGAAUUAUUCACUUGUUAUUGAACCAUUUGAUGUUUGGGGCUUUGACUAU